CCUACGGGGGGCUGCAGUGGGGAAUAUUGGGCAAUGGGCGAAAGCCUGACCCAGCAACGCCGCGUGAAGGAAGAAGGCCCUCGGGUUGUAAACUUCUUUUGUCAGGGACGAAACAAAUGACGGUACCUGACGAAUAAGCCACGGCUAACUACGUGCCAGCCGCCGCGGUAAUACGUAGGUGGCAAGCGUUAUCCGGAUUUACUGGGUGUAAAGGGCGUGUAGGCGGGGGAGGAAGUCAGAUGUGAAAUUCCAGGGCUCAACCCUGGAACUGCAUUUGAAACUGUUUUGCUUGAGUGAGGGAGAGGCAGGCGGAAUGCCGUGUGUAGCGGUGAAAUGCGUAGAUAUACGGAGGAACACCAGUGGCGAAGGCGGCCUGCUGGACAUUAACUGACGCUGAGGCACGAAAGCGUGGGGAGCAAACAGGAUUAGAUACCCCUGUAGUC
rnacentral:rRNA from 1 species